GUCCAGCUGACGAGUUUCUAAUAGGAUGAAACGUGCGUCAAACUGGAU
rnacentral:hammerhead_ribozyme from 1 species